rnacentral:rRNA from 1 species
GAUGAACGCUGGCGGCGUGCUUAACACAUGCAAGUCGAACGAUGAAGCCCAGCUUGCUGGGUGGAUUAGUGGCGAACGGGUGAGUAACACGUGAGUAACCUGCCCUUAACUCUGGGAUAAGCCUGGGAAACUGGGUCUAAUACCGGAUAGGAGCGUCCACCGCAUGGUGGGUGUUGGAAAGGUUUAUCGGUUUUGGAUGGACUCGCGGCCUAUCAGCUUGUUGGUGAGGUAAUGGAUCGCCAAGGCGGCGACGGGUAGCCGGCCUGAGAGGGUGACCGGCCACACUGGGACUGAGACACGGCCCAGACUCCUACGGGAGGCAGCAGUGGGGAAUAUUGCACAAUGGGCGAAAGCCUGAUGCAGCGACGCCGCGUGAGGGAUGACGGCCUUCGGGUUGUAAACCUCUUUCAGUAGGGAAGAAGCGAAAGUGACGGUACCUGCAGAAGAAGCACCGGCUAACUACGUGCCAGCCGCCGCGGUAA